rnacentral:tRNA from 1 species
ACCGAAAUAGAUCAAUUGGGAGAGCGUUAGACUAUAGGUCGAAAAGUCCCUGGUUCGAGCCCGGGUUCCGGCA